AUGAAGAUUGUGGAGAAAACACAGCUGGUGCUCAGGAAGGGCAUCAACUCAGUGGCGAUGCUCGCUCUGUGGGAAAUUUGGAAGCACCGCAAUAGUUGCACCUUUAGAGGAAAGGAAGCCUCCAUAAGCGAGGUGCUACCGGCAAUCAAAAGGGGCAUCGAGCUUUGGCGUCAAGCCGGGGCAUCUUGCCUCACGCACCCGUUCACUUUGCCACCAGAGGGGAUAGGCUGA
rnacentral:rRNA from 1 species